CCAGAAUCCCAUAUAGACAUGACUUUUUCUUUUUUCUUUUUUUUUUUUCUGGUACCGGGGAUCGAACUUGGGACCUUGCGCUUGCCAGGUAGGUGGUGGAACCACUGAGCUAAAUCCCUGGCCUCUUAUUUUCUUUAAUAUUGUCAAUUACUGUUUGCAUAGUCAAUAUAAAAUAUAAUUACAAUGGCUUCUUAGGCCUGGCUCAACCUCUCAGGGGUUAAGGGGCAUAACAUUGGGUCACAACAACCCACCCCAUACUUUUCUACUAUAAAUUUUUACUUUAGCAUAAUAGUAGCUGGCUGUGCAUUUCAGAAGCUGUGCCUGGUGGAUACAGGAAGCAAUCUUUGUGUUUACUCACUUGGUGCAAUGAAUGAUGAACGAUAAGGUGUAUGCAAAAGUGUCAAGCCAGGAUUUUUACCCACAUAAUGCUGUGGCUAACAGGUUUUGCAUAUUUUUACCUGAGCAUCACAGGAGGUAAAAUACACCCACACCACUCUUCUGUUAUGAAAACAUGUAUUUUAUCAUAGUGGGAUUUAGGCGUGACUCACAGUGGCUGCACAGUAGCAAAAACCCAUCUGUGCAUUCACCCACUUGGCAGACAAAUGGCAAGGUACCGGAGCUUCAGAGCAACAACAGAAGUAGCCCAAUUCAGCACAAUGGCACAUGAAAAACCAGAUUUGCAAGUUUUGGAGAAGGUCAAAAGUGAAUCAUUAGAUUACUCAUGCUGGAUGAUGGAGAUGAUGAUGACUUUGACGUUGGCCAUGCUAGCCAAAUUUCCUGUGACAGUGAAAUGGAGCAAGAAUUGACUGAUACAGACACAGGGAAUGCAGACCUCUUUAAUUCAGGUGACAAAGAAAACAGCAAUGGAACUAUGCAAAAAAACUGUGGAGCACAGUGGUGAGCUGACAGCUGAACAGUCAGGUGCAACAUCACGGAGACCUGCUAUGACAACAGGAAAACCAAAAGGAUGUCAACUGUGCCCUACAAGGAAGGACAGG
rnacentral:lncRNA from 1 species